rnacentral:rRNA from 1 species
AUGAGUUGCUUCCAACUGCUAGUUGAUAUUUGUGAGAAAUUCCGUCAAAUAAUUGCUGAUGAGUGGUGGGGCCGCGAAGAUGGAAAAUGGAAAAUGCAUUGGCGCUCGUGGGAGUGGUUGACUACACCCAAGGCUCUUGGUGGUAUGGGCUUUUGUGACAUGGCCCUUUUCAAUCUGGCUAUGCUCGCCAAGCAGGGAUGGAGGCUACUGAAGAAUCCAUUCUCGCUUUGUGCUCAGGUUUUGAGAGGACGAUAUUUUCCAAAUUCUGAUUUCUGGAAUGCAUUAGCACCAAGGUCUGCGUCUGCUACUUGGCGUGCUAUAUUAGCCGGACGUGAUUUACUCCAGAAGGGAGUCAGGUGGGCCAUUGGUAAUGGUGAAGAUGUUUGUAUUCUCUCAGAUCAUUGGAUCCCUUCGACUCCUCCACAACGACUGUAUCCUCUUUUACCUAUACCUGCUAAUGCUAAGGUAAAAUGCUUGAUUGAUGAGGAAUCUAGUACAUGGAAUCAAGAUUCUGUUAGGGCCUGUUUCCAUGAUAAUAUUGCUGCAGAAAUUCUUCACGUUCCUAUAAGUAGGCAUGGCUGUGUGGAUUUUGCAAGCUAG